CCUGGUCACCGCCUGUGUUUUUGCUCGCUGUGAUUUUCUCUCCGUGCAGAUUGCUGGCGUUGCUCUCUCUCCUCGUCUACGCCUCGGUUUUGGUCACUGUGAUUUUCUCUCCGUGUAGAUUGCCGGCUUGCUCUCUCUCGGGAUCUGUUCCUGCUGCGGUUCCAGAUCCAGGCCACCUCACCGUCAAAUUCCAAGUUGGAAGAUAUGAAGAUGGAUGAGGCGUCUGAAGAGGUGGCAGUGGAAAUAGCUGCACAAGGGGUCCUUGGGAAGAGAGUUGAUGAGAUGGAGGCCAGUUUCAUGAUGGCAGAAG